rnacentral:rRNA from 1 species
AGCGCGGGGCAACCUGGCGGCGAGUGGCGAACGGGUGAGUAAUAUAUCGGAACGUACCCUGGAGUGGGGGAUAACGUAGCGAAAGUUACGCUAAUACCGCAUACGAUCUAAGGAUGAAAGUGGGGGAUCGCAAGACCUCAUGCUCCUGGAGCGGCCGAUAUCUGAUUAGCUAGUUGGCGGGGUAAAAGCCCACCAAGGCAACGAUCAGUAGCUGGUCUGAGAGGACGACCAGCCACACUGGAACUGAGACACGGUCCAGACUCCUACGGGAGGCAGCAGUGGGGAAUUUUGGACAAUGGGCGCAAGCCUGAUCCAGCAAUGCCGCGUGAGUGAAGAAGGCCUUCGGGUUGUAAAGCUCUUUUGUCAGGGAAGAAACGGUGGGGGCUAAUAUCUCCCGCUAAUGACGGUACCUGAAGAAUAAGCACCGGCUAACUACGUGCCAGCAGCCGCGGUAAUACGUAGGGUGCAAGCGUUAAUCGGAAUUACUGGGCGUAAAGCGUGCGCAGGCGGUUUUGUAAGUCUGUCGUGAAAUCCCCGGGCUCAACCUGGGAAUUGCGAUGGAGACUGCAAGGCUAGAGUUUGGCAGAGGGGGGUAGAAUUCCACGUGUAGCAGUGAAAUGCGUAGAUAUGUGGAGGAACACCGAUGGCGAAGGCAGCCCCCUGGGUCAAAACUGACGCUCAUGCACGAAAGCGUGGGGAGCAAACAGGAUUAGAUACCCUGGUAGUCCACGCCCUAAACGAUGUCUACUAGUUGUCGGGUCUUAAUUGACUUGGUAACGCAGCUAACGCGUGAAGUAGACCGCCUGGGGAGUACGGUCGCA